GAAGGUUUUGAGUAAGGGAGUUUGAAGGCUGUGAGGAAGGAAGGUUUUGAGUAAGGGAGUUUCAAGGGUGUGAGGAAGGGAAGUUUUGAGUAAGGGAGUUUGAAGGCUGUGAGAAAGGAAGGUUUUGAGUAAGGGAGUUUCAAGGGUGUGAGGAAGGGAAGUUUUGAGUAAGGGAGUUUCAAGGCUGUGAGAAAGGAAGGUUUUGAGUAAGGGAGUUUCAAGGGUGUGAGGAAGGGAAGUUUUGAGUAAGGGAGUUUCAAGGCUGUGAGAAAGGAAGGUUUUGAGUAAGGGAGUUUGAAGGCUGUGAGGAAGGAAGGUUUUGAGUAAGGGAGUUUGAAGGCUGUGAGGAAGGAAGGUUUUGAGUAAGGGAGUUUCAAGGGUGUGAGGAAGGGAAGUUUUGAGUAAGGGAGUUUGAAGGUUGUGAGGAAGGGAAGUUUUGAGUAGGGGAGUUUGAAGGUUGUGAGGAAGGGAAGUUUUGAGUAAGGGAGUUUGAAGGGUGUGAGGAAGGGAAGUUUUGAGUAAGGGAGUUUGAAGGUUGUGAGGAAGGGAAGUUUUGAGUAAGGGAGUUUGAAGGCUGUGAGAAAGGAAGGUUUUGAGUAAGGGAGUUUCAAGGGUGUGAGGAAGGGAAGUUUUGAGUAAGGGAGUUUCAAGGCUGUGAGAAAGGAAGGUUUUGAGUAAGGGAGUUUCAAGGCUGUGAGAAAGGAAGGUUUUGAGUAAGGGAGUUUCAAGGGUGUGAGGAAGGGAAGUUUUGAGUAAGGGAGUUUGAAGGUUGUGAGGAAGGGAAGUUUUGAGUAAGGGAGUUUCAAGGGUGUGAGGAAGGGAAGUUUUGAGUAAGGGAGUUUGAAGGUUGUGAGGAAGGGAAGUUUUGAGUAAGGGAGUUUGAUGGCUGUGAGGAAGGGAGGUUUUGGAUUGUGAGGAAGAAGUUAAGAAAGUUUUGGGGCUGAGGAAGUGAGGUUUGAGGAUACGAGGCAGGGGUUUGAGGCUGUGGGGCUGUGAGGUUUGAGUCUGAGUAAGGUGGAGUGUGAGGCUGUGAAGAUGGUAGCGUCUGUGGCUGUGUGUGGUGUGUAAGUGGGUCAGCUGGGUCCUAAUAUAUUCCUGGUGACGUGUGGGUUGUGAGGCAGCGGCGGCAGCUACAACAACAGCUAAACUAGACUAAUAAACUACUUAUAAUUUUCUCCAUUGCACAUGUAUUAGCAUCUAACGAGUAUUUUUUUAAUCUAUUACUCGUUAUACGCUAAUUUGACUAAACAAAACUAAACCUAUCUUAUAAGCGAAUACAUUAAUCUAAAGCUAAACAUAAUAAAACAAUCCCAAAGUCUAGCUAAUAAACGAAUAAACAUAAAGUAAACCCAAAUUAAACAAAACAAUGCGUAAAAUUAACUAAUAUAUUAACUCGACCCAAACUAAAUAAUACCUAACCUACACUCACUCUCAAGAUCAGUCUGAGGGCCACGAUGCAGAGGAAGCAGAUAUUGUCAAUGAUACAAGCCAGAGAGAACCUUCCACGCCAAGCCCCAAAAGUGUCCCAGGGAGAUGAUUUAGUAUUCACAUCAAUUGUAAAGAUUAAAGCACUCUGAAACCUACACUAAGGCCUAACAUGUGAUUUAAUACUGUCUCUUUUCUCUUCGUCUAUAUGUCUAGGAUCGUAACCAGAGUGGAGUGGUGACGGAUGGGCAGUCUCAUAUAAAAUCCAUGACCCUGUCCACCCAGCCGUAAAAGGAUAGCUGGUGUCAGUCGAGGGUUGUGUCCCGCCUCGCAAGUGUGUGCUGAAGUGAGAUUUCAGCCGUACCCAAACAAGCGAUAGCGGGUCUAGAGCGUGAUCGGACUAAGGUGAAAUUAAGCAUGCUGAUCUGAUAGACGAGACAGAACAAUGAAAACACACACACACACACACACACACACACACACACACACACACACACAUAUACAUACACAUGCGCCGACCACAGAAUGACAAAUGAAACAGGACAAAGAGAACAUGGCGAAGAAUACACACACAAGAGUUAGAUGAAUACCCAAGGAUGAGGGAACAACACAAUACUGGCGGACCUACACGUGGCUGGUAUUGUGUGACAGCUGUUUACCGCUUGUUCCCGCCCCGUCUAUUAGCAUAUGUAAGCCAGGUGUGAAGGGUGCGGUUAUGUCCGUUAACUACACCAUGGAUUGAUUUGUUUUAUUUAUACGGGAGUCUAUUUUUAAACCCCACUAUGGUCUGUUCUCUUUAGUCUGACCCAAGCUGACAACAUAAUCCCGAAAUUGACCUCUCUUUCGGCCACCUCUUUAGAUUCUUUUUGUGAGCAGCGAGUAGCGGGCUUUUUUUUGUUAUUGUUUACUUUUUUUGUGCCCUUGAGCUGUCUCCUUUGUUGUAAGAAAAUAAAAUAAAUAAACCUAAGCGUGUUCGUGAGCACAGUGCAGAUUAGUAGAAAGUGCUGCGUGAGAUAAACACAAAUAGAGGUUAAAGAAAACUUGGAAGCCACAGCAGUAGCCAGUCAGCACUCAGCUUGCAAACACGCUUAUAGGUUUAUGUUGUCAGCUUGGGUCGGACUUAAGAGAACAGACUAUAGUUAAUUUGUCAUCCACGCCAUCUUAUUUGUAAACCAUGGGACCAAAACCUAACCUACUUGCUGACACACACACACACACACACACACACACACACACACACACACACACACACACACACACACACACACACACACACACACACACACACACACACACACACACACGCUCCGCCGCCCUCUCCCCCGCCCCCUACACACGAUAAAAGUAGAUAUGGAGGUAAACCAACAUCCGGCACACACAAAAAGGUAAACACACACACACACACACACACACACACACACACACACACACACACACACACACACACACACACACACAUAC